UUUCCGUAGGUGAAUCUGCGGAAGGAUCAUUAUUGUAUAACCGAGGUGCGAGGGCUGUCGCUGACCCGAAAGGUCGUGCACGCCCGAGUGCUCUCACACACAUCCAUCUCACCCCUAUGUGCACCACCGCGUGGGUCCCCCUUUGGCUUGUUCGGAGGGGGGCUUACGUUUUCACACAAACUUUGUAUGCAGUGUAGAAUGUAUUUUUUGUUUUUGCGAUCACGCAAUCAAUACAACUUUCAACAACGGAUCUCUUGGCUCUC
rnacentral:misc_RNA from 1 species